CAACCAGCCAAUUAGUCUGCUUAUCUGAAUGUUUCUGCUGAACUGUUGAAAAACUGGCAAUAGUGAUGCCUUGUUAUGAACCUUAAGGACAACUGAGGUCAUUAAGAUCCCUGAAAAUAGCUAUAAUA
ensembl:snoRNA